UUUGAGAGAAGAGGACCCAAACCGAGAGCGCUGGGGUGGGAGGGAUCGAACUGGGCAAAGGAAUUUGGAGGGAGAGAAGAGGAGGAGGAGGAGCUGAGGUUAUUUUGGUAAUUUAGAGGAUGUUUAGAAUCUAGAAUUAGUCCGUGGUGAUUAUUAUUUGUUUUUUUUUUUUUUUUUUGGGCAAAGGAAAGAGGAGAGGAGACCCGUUCUCAAAGGAGGUUGGCAGUUAGGGCUUCAAAAUUAUGUUCCGUAUUUUAUGCCUGGUUCUGUUGAAUCAAGAAGCUGUUUAUGUUUUGAUGUUGCAGAACUCCACUUUAUGCCAAGUUACCCAGGAUUUACAGAACCUUACCUUCACUUCCUGCAUUUGGAUGAGAACUCUGAGGAGAGAAUUUCCCAGAAGGCAUGAUCUUUACUAGUGCACGAGUUCAGUUGGCAUCACCUUGACUUCGUAGAAUCAAAGGGUACCUAGCUGAUGAAACACUGAAGAUGGGGCAAUGGCAACUGACUCGUUUAUCCAAAUUAAUUCAUGUACAAUUUACUCGAAGAACGUUCAAAGUUUAGAAAUACAAUGAGAAGGUAGGUGCAUCAUGGAGCUUAUUGCAAGUAAAGGAUAAGACCGUGAUUAACAUAUAAAGUAUAAAUAUUGAUAAAGCCUUGUGAUUCUACUAAAACAAAUAUUCAGUUGAUUUGGUAAGAAAUAGUGCAAUUCUAGAACUG